rnacentral:rRNA from 1 species
UACGUAGGGGGCAAGCGUUGUUCGGAAUUACUGGGCGUAAAGGGCUCGUAGGUGGCCAACUAAGUCAGACGUGAAAUCCCUCGGCUUAACCGGGGAACUGCGUCUGAUACUGGAUGGCUUGAGUUUGGGAGAGGGACGCGGAAUUCCAGGUGUAGCGGUGAAAUGCGUAGAUAUCUGGAGGAACACCGGUGGCGAAGGCGGCGUCCUGGACCAACACUGACACUGAGGAGCGAAAGCGUGGGGAGCGAUCCGG